rnacentral:rRNA from 1 species
CCUACGGGUGGCAGCAGUGGGGGAUAUUGCACAAUGGGGGGAACCCUGAUGCAGCGACGCCGCGUGGGUGAAGGAGUGCUUCGGCAUGUAAAGCCCUAUCGGCAGGGAAGAAGCAAGACGGUAACUGACUAAGAAGCCCCGGCUAACUACGUGCCAGCAGCCGCGGGAAAACGUAGGGGGCGAGCGUUAUUCGGAUUCACUGGGUGGAAAGGGAGCGGAGACGGCCAUGCAAGCAAGGGGUUAAAGCCCGGGGCCAAACCCCGGGACUGCCCUUGGAACUGCUUGGCUGGAGUGCGGGAGGGGCAGGCGGAAUUCCUGGUGUAGCGGUGAAAUGCGUAGAUAUCAGGAGGAACACCGGCGGCGAAGGCGGCCUGCUGGACCGCGACUGACGUUGAGGCUCGAAAGCGUGGGGAGCGAACAGGAUUAGAUACCCCUGUAGUC